CCCUACGGGGCGCAGCAGUGAGGAAUAUUGGUCAAUGGGCGCGAGCCUGAACCAGCCAAGUAGCGUGAAGGAUGACGGCCCUAUGGGUUGUAAACUUCUUUUAUAUGGGAAUAAAGUUUGGUAUGCAUACCAUUUUGUAUGUACCAUAUGAAUAAGGAUCGGCUAACUCCGUGCCAGCAGCCGCGGUAAUACGGAGGAUCCGAGCGUUAUCCGGAUUUAUUGGGUUUAGAGGGAGCGUAGGUGGAUUGUUAAGUCAGUUGUGAAAGUUUGCGGCUCAACCGUAAAAUUGCAGUUGAAACUGGCAG
rnacentral:rRNA from 1 species